rnacentral:rRNA from 1 species
AGUGAACGCUGGCGGUAGGCCUAACACAUGCAAGUCGAACGGCAGCACAGUAAGAGCUUGCUCUUACGGGUGGCGAGUGGCGGACGGGUGAGGAAUACAUCGGAAUCUACUUUUUCGUGGGGGAUAACGUAGGGAAACUUACGCUAAUACCGCAUACGACCUACGGGUGAAAGCAGGGGAUCUUCGGACCUUGCGCGAUUGAAUGAGCCGAUGUCGGAUUAGCUAGUUGGCGGGGUAAAGGCCCACCAAGGCGACGAUCCGUAGCUGGUCUGAGAGGAUGAUCAGCGACACUGGAACUGAGACACGGUCCAGGCUCCUACGGGAGGCAGCAGUGGGGAAUAUUGGACAAUGGGCGCAAGCCUGAUCCAGCCAUACCGCGUGGGUGAAGAAGGCCUUCGGGUUGUAAAGCCCUUUUGUUGGGAAAGAAAAGCAGCAGGUUAAUACCCCGCUGUUCUGACGGUACCCAAAGAAUAAGCACCGGCUAACUUCGUG